UACGUAGGGGGCAAGCGUUGUCCGGAUUUAUUGGGCGUAAAGAGCGUGUAGGCGGCCAGGUAGGUCGGCUGUGAAAACUCGAGGCUCAACCUCGAGCUGUCGGCCGAAACCAUCUGGCUAGAGUCCGGAAGAGGAGAAUGGAAUUCCCGGUGUAGCGGUGAAAUGCGCAGAUAUCGGGAAGAACACCCGUGGCGAAGGCGGUUCUCUGGGACGGUACUGACGCUGAGGUGCGAAAGCGUGGGGAGCAAACAGG
rnacentral:rRNA from 1 species